AGCCUUGUGGUGAUAUCACAUUAGAUUGCAAACCUAAAGAUGCAAACUCACAUUUGCCUAGGCUU
rnacentral:tRNA from 1 species